AACUUUCAACAACGGAUCUCUUGGUUCUGGCAUCAU
rnacentral:rRNA from 1 species